GAUGAACGCUGUCUACAGGCUUAACACAUGCAAGUCGAGGGGAAACGCCGGGGAAGCUUGCUUCCCCGGGCGUCGACCGGCGCACGGGUGAGUAACGCGUAUCCAACCUGCCUCUGACUGAGGGAUAACCCGUCGAAAGUCGGCCUAAUACCUCAUGGCAUCGUCUGCGGGCAUCCAACGACGAUUAAAGAUUUCAUCGGUCAGGGAUGGGGAUGCGUCUGAUUAGCUUGUUGGCGGGGUAACGGCCCACCAAGGCUACGAUCAGUAGGGGUUCUGAGAGGAAGGUCCCCCACAUUGGAACUGAGACACGGUCCAAACUCCUACGGGAGGCAGCAGUGAGGAAUAUUGGUCAAUGGGCGGGAGCCUGAACCAGCCAAGUAGCGUGCAGGAUGACGGCCCUAUGGGUUGUAAACUGCUUUUAUGCGGGGAUAAAGUGAGGGACGUGUCCUUCAUUGCAGGUACCGCAUGAAUAAGGACCGGCUAAUUCCGUG
rnacentral:rRNA from 1 species